GAUCAUGGCUCAGGAUGAACGCUAGCUACAGGCUUAACACAUGCAAGUCGAGGGGCAGCAUGAAAGGAACUUCGGUUCUUUUUGAUGGCGACCGGCGCACGGGUGCGUAACGCGUAUCGAACCUGCCUCAUACUCGGGGAUAGCCUUGCGAAAGUAAGAUUAAUACCCGGCGGUCUCGGAUGGCCGCAUGACUAUCCGAGUGAAGAUUUAUCGGUAUGGGAGAUGGCGAUGCGU
rnacentral:rRNA from 1 species